UCAAAAUUUGGAAAUGUUUCUAUUUUGAAGUUUUUUAAUGCUUAAGAUUCUUAAUUAAAUUCAAGAUCUUCUCAAACGGUUCGUUUAGGCGCCUGAACUUCAUAUCUCUUCUUCGUCGUCUCGUAUCCACCAUUGUCUUCUUGAAAUUUCGAGGAGAUAUCAAUCGUUUCGUUCUGGUUUUCGUUCUGUUAUGCUCUUCAUCUCUUUCUUUCUCUAGAUCCAAAAUACAUAUAUGCGUUUAAAUAGGGUUUUCAUUGGUGGUGUUCUUGGGUUCUUCAUGAACACUUGAAUUUUCUGAUAUUAGUCGUUGUCUCCGGUUUAAAGAAACAAUGCCACUUCGAAAACAAACAAAUCUCUAGAAAUUCUCGACAUCGGAAGAAGACGAUGAUGUGGGAGAGCAAGCGUUCUUGGCUGUUCGUGCCCUCCAUUUUUUCGUCAGUCACCAAUCAUUUUGAAGAUGAAAUUGAAUGCAUUUGACACUUAAGCUGAGAUGUCGGCACUCUUUUUGGAAUUCAGAGCAACUAUAUUCAGUGUUUGACGAAAAUGAAGAGAAACUUGAUAAGGAAGACAGUGAUGAUGAUGAGUCAAAUGCUGAUGUGGCAAAAUUGGAAUCAAAACCAGAAUAAUAGGCUAAAUGUAUUUUAGUUCUUAAUCCAGGUAUGUUCUUUUAAUCAUCUUUAUAUUAUGUUGUGUCUUCUAAGUUCUUGUUGUAUGUAUUAGUUUACAUUGAUUAUCAUUUUAAACCAAAAGAACUUUAAUAAGAAAAUGGGCUCAAUGCAAUAAAUAGCAAAAUACUUUCGUUUCUUAUUACAUCAUUGCAAAUUCCAAUUUUUUUUAUCUUACUAAGGCAAUGUAGUUUAGAAAAUCUACCAAUCCUAGCAUUGUUUUUUAAGUUUUCUUGUUAUUAGCACAUUGCACUUUUAAAAAUCAACCCACUUAUAGCAUUGAACUUUUUAGUUCUCUAUUACAAUUUUUAGUUUUCUUUUUGCUAUAGCCAUUUAACUUUCAAAAAAGUUCUUAUCAAGACAUUUUAUUUUGAAAUUUUUUCCAUUCAUAGUA